AGUUUGCCUUCCCAAGGCAAACCAUACAUCUUACAAGGGACUGGAUCCUAAGGACAGUUAAUAAUAGGUGGCGAGCGUACAAAUCUAAGUUGAAGAAACAAUACUUCAAUCGUGACGAGAGAACUCUAGAAGAAAUCCUAAGAGAGAAGCCACUUACGACUAAUGAACAUCAAUGGAGAUCUCUAGUUGGAAUUUGGUGCCAAGAGCAACAUAAGAAAUUAUGUUCCACAAACUCUCGUUGUGCAAAAGAACAGAAGACUGCACACACAUGUGGGAGGAAAAGCCUUGCUAGAUUAAAAAAAGAGAUGGAAACCAGAACUAAACGAAAGGUUCAUAGGAUAGAACUAUGGGAGGCAGCUCAUAAAAAGAAGAAUGGUAGAUACACAACAGAAAAGGCAGAGACACUGAUGGCUGCAUCUUAUGAGGAAUUUAAAAAAAGGAGAGGGAACAAUGAUGGUAAUCGUCUUUCAUCUAAAGAUUACAAUGAAGUGUUCAAUGAUAUUGUUGCCAAGGAUUUCAAAGCACGUGGGUACUAUGAUGAUAAGUACUGGAGUCAAGUACAAGCUUUUCAAGGUUUACCGUUUGUUAAUCAAACGGAGGAAGAAAGAAUGUACCAAGAGAAAGUAAAUGAAAUUGACAAUA